GCUAAGUCGGUGCGAGCAGGAGGGGUAAGACGGAGGGUGCAAGAGUUAGCCGGAUUUACUGGGUUUAAAGGGUGCGUAGGUGGGCAGGUAAGUCAGUGGUGAAAGCUCCGGGCUUAACCCGGAAACUGCCGUUGAUACUAUCUGUCUUGAAUAUCCUGGAGGUGAACGGAAUAUGUCAUGUAGCGGUGAAAUGCUUAGAUAUGACAUAGAACACCAAUUGCGAAGGCAGUUCACUACGGGAUCAUUGACACUGAGGCACGAAAGCGUGGGGAUCAAACAGGAUUAGAUACCCGAGUAGUC
rnacentral:rRNA from 1 species